GGAAAGAGCCCAGCACUGAAUCCCGCGGUUGUCACGGCCGCGGGAGAUGUGGUGUUCGGGAGGUUCCGCUUUCUCGUCGUCGCGUCUCCUGUCCAAGUUCGUCUUGAACGGGGCCGUUUUCCCGUAGAGGGUGCCAGGCCCGUAGCGACGGAGGGCGGCGGCGAGAGGGACUCUCCUCAGAGUCGGGUUGCUUGAGAGUGCAGCCCUAAGUGGGUGGUAAACUCCAUCUAAGGCUAAAUAUUACCGCGAGACCGAUAGCGAACAAGUACCG
rnacentral:rRNA from 4 species